GGUAAAGGCGUUUUGGCAAUUGAACAUACAGUACAUAAAUGUUACCUUAGGUUUGCAUACUUUUAUUUCUUCCAAUCCCUAAUUUCAAUUCCAAGCUCCUUCAAUUUGCCUCUUUCUCAGAAUCUGUUGCACUUGUAUAAGUUGUAUAUUAUCAUCAAAUUGGUUGAUUUUAAAUUGGGAUUGGAAAAUGGAAUUGCAAGGGGAUGCUUUGAUAGAGAUCCUGGCUCGAUUACCAAUGAAGUCGUUGAUCCGAUUCACUAUUGUAUAAUUUACUGGGUCGUCAUGGUGCGGGGAAGAAUGUAGAGCUUCUUAGU